rnacentral:rRNA from 1 species
GACGAACGCUGGCGGCGUGCUUAACACAUGCAAGUCGAACGGAAAGGCCCCUUUGGGGGUACUCGAGUGGCGAACGGGUGAGUAACACGUGAGUAACCUGCCCUUGACUUCGGGAUAACUUCAGGAAACUGGGGCUAAUACCGGAUAGGAAUCCUUGCUGCAUGGUGGGGGUUGGAAAGCUUCGGCGGUUUUGGAUGGACUCGCGGCUUAUCAGCUUGUUGGUGGGGUAGUGGCUUACCAAGGCUUUGACGGGUAGCCGGCCUGAGAGGGCGACCGGCCACAUGGGGACUGAGAUACGGCCCAGACUCCUACGGGAGGCAGCAGUGGGGAAUAUUGCACAAUGGGCGGAAGCCUGAUGCAGCAACGCCGCGUGCGGGAUGACGGCCUUCGGGUUGAAAACCGCUUUCAGCAGGGGCGAAGCUUGUGGUGACGGUACCUGCAGAAGAAGCACCGGCUAACGACGUG